UACGUAGGGUGCGAGCGUUGUCCGGAAUUAUUGGGCGUAAAGAGCUCGUAGGCGGUUUGUUGCGUCGGCUGUGAAAUCCCGAGGCUCAACCUCGGGUCUGCAGUCGAUACGGGCAAACUAGAGUAUUGCAGGGGAGACUGGAAUUCCUGGUGUAGCGGUGAAAUGCGCAGAUAUCAGGAGGAACACCGGUGGCGAAGGCGGGUCUCUGGGCAAUAACUGACGCUGAGGAGCGAAAGCGUGGGGAGCGAACAGG
rnacentral:rRNA from 1 species